rnacentral:rRNA from 1 species
AAACGCCGGGGUCUCGAGGUUUCUGACUUAUGCCCUCUCUGUGCUUCCGACCCGGAGGAUACAUUUCACGCGUUUUGCAGGUGCCCACGGGCGGUUGGGCUAUGGCAAGCCAUGGGAGAACACUGGAGCAUUCCCGAGGCGCAUGCAUUCAGGAGGACGGGCUCGGAGUGGCUAGCACAAAGCCUCUGCGAUCUUCCGGAAUGGGAGCGGCUGGAACUGAUGAUGCUGCUCUGGCGAUGCUGGCACGUUCGGAAUGAACUCACGCAUGAUAAGAAGGCACCCCCGGUCGAAGCGUCAUGCCGGUUCCUGUUAAGCUAUGUGGAGGCCAUCAUUGGGGUGCAAAACAGGCCGGAGACCGACCUGGUGAAGGGCAAGCAACCGGUGGAGGCGCUGCACACGAAGGCGAUACCCACACAUUCCCCGAUGAGCAACCCGAACCCUGUCAGAUGGAACCCUCCCCCGGCGGGAUGGGCCAAACUGAACGUUGACGGAUCGUUCUGCCCCACGACGGGAUCGGCCGGCGCAGGCAUGGUCCUCCGGGACAGCUUGGGCACGAUCAUUUUCUCUUUGUGCCGCCAACUCCGAAGCUGCGCGGAUGCACUUGAGGCGGAGCUGGCCGCGUGCAUGGAGGGCCUGAACCUUGCCCUCCAAUGGACGCCCCUUCCCGUAGAGAUCGAAUCUGAUAGCCUUGUUGGAAUCAACAUGCUGAAGGGCAACGUAGUGGACCGCUCGCGUUAUGCUAUGCUGGUAGAUCAGACCAAACGCCUCAUGAUGGAAGGACGAGAAGUGAAACUAGUUCACAUCUCCCGCGACCAAAAUAAAGUUAGUCAUUUCCUUGCUAAUUUUGGUAGAGUAGAAGAGUGCACUGUUGUGUGGCUCGGUUCUAGUCCUGGCGAUGUGCCGGGUCUCUGUAAGCAAGACUUCCAGUCUGGGUAA